CGGAAUCUACCUUUUCGUGGGGGAUAACGUAGGGAAACUUACGCUAAUACCGCAUACGACCUUCGGGUGAAAGCAGGGGACCUUCGGGCCUUGCGCGGAUAGAUGGGCCGAUGUCGGAUUAGCUAGUUGGCGGGGUAAAGGCCCACCAAGGCGACGAUCCGUAGCUGGUCUGAGAGGAUGAUCAGCCACACUGGAACUGAGACACGGUCCAGACUCCUACGGGAGGCAGCAGUGGGGAAUAUUGGACAAUGGGCGCAAGCCUGAUCCAGCCAUACCGCGUGGGUGAAGAAGGCCUUCGGGUUGUAAAGUCCUUUUGUUGGGAAAGAAAAGCAACCAGUUAAUACCUGGUUGUUCUGACGGUACCCAAAGAAUAAGCACCGGCUAACUUCGUGCCAGCAGCCGCGGUAAUACGAAGGGUGCAAGCGUUACUCGGAAUUACUGGGCGUAAAGCGUGCGUAGGUGGUUGUUUAAGUCUGUUGUGAAAGCCCUGGGCUCAACCUGGGAAUUGCAGUGGAUACUGGACGACUAGAGUGUGGUAGAGGGUAGUGGAAUUCCUGGU
rnacentral:rRNA from 1 species